UAUUUAUAUACAUGUACAUGUACAUUCAGUAUGUGCACAGCUACUCAUAGACACGCCUGCAUGUGGAGUUGUUUGAAGUCUACAGUGUCUCUGCUGCUACAGUAUUUCUGCAGUAUUCCUCCUCACACGGCUGCUUCUCCACAAUGGCUCAAUUUUCGUGUCUCCACCAUUCCAGUGUGCUAUACCACACAGCAAUUAAAACACCUUGCAAAACAACCAGUCAAUGAGAGAUAAAUCCAUUUCCAAGGUGAAUCUAUAGCAGCAGCUCCCAGCAGACGCAGAAAAACCACUGCGGAAAGUGGAGAGGCAGCAGUGCAGCCAUGGGAGGAGGACUAGUUCCAGAGAAGAAAGCAGAAGAGGAGACGAUGAAGUCACAGGGAAGAAGAGGCAGAAAGAAAGAAACAGGCCCUGCAGAAGUCACAACAGGGAGCAUCUUUCUUCCUCUGCCUCUUUAAAAGCUGCCUCCACCAGCCUAUUCUCCUGGGCCAGGCAGCGGCGGCAGAGGGGAGACAUAGCAGGAGAGGAACAGGAGAUAUCAGCACUCAGUAUCUAAUCUCCCUACCCUCUCUAAUGCACCCUGGAGUAUCCUCUCCAGCACCGACACAGGCAGAUAGAUAGGAGUCGACAGCUGCACAGGCUAAAACCCAGCAUCCGAGCUUUACUGCUCGAGCUCUUCCUCAUCCUCCUCCUCCUCCUCCCUGCAGGUUACCAUUGUGCGAGCGAGGCUCUCGUGGGGCGAGCUGACAGUACAGAUAAACGAGUGAACUGGCUUGUGGGAUGCACGCGCACACACCUUCGCACACGGAGGAAACACGCCCUUACACUAUCUUUACAACAGCCUCUAAAUCAAAGAACAUAUUCCUGCACACAUACAACACAAAAUGGGCUUUGGAGAGGAAACAUACAGUCAAAGGAGGUCAGAUUCUCACACACACACACACACACACCAGAUGUAUAGGCAGUCACAGGAGCUUUACCAAAAGGCCUCCUUUAGGCUCAUUUUCCUCUCUGCCUCUAUUAAGGCUGACGUUGAUGAAUGACAGAGAUUACAGGACAGACUGCCACUUAGCUUCAUCACAGAAUGAAUGUAAUCAAACGCAGAGACACGGGGAGCAGCCAGGGAACUCGACAAGAUGGAGGCGGGAAGGGUAACACAACACACAGCGUGAGAGUCCGCCUGUAAGAAAGCGAGCAAAAGAAGUGCUUCAAAUAUCACACCUCUGGCAGACGUUUUUCAGGGACGUUUUUUUUGUCGGACGACCAAAACGGUUGAAAUGUUGUCUCCACUGCACACGUGUUUUUUUUCCUCUGAUUUUGAAUAGAUGUUGUACAUUUUUUUUAUAUUAAUCUGUCACUUUGUUUGAACCAACCAUCUGCCGUGAGCCAUUUUCA